CCUACGGGGGGCAGCAGUGGGGGAUAUUGCACAAUGGGGGGAACCCUGAUGCAGCCACGCCGCGUGGGUGAAGGAGCGUUUCGGCGCGUAAAGCCCUAUCGGCAGGGGAGAAGAUGACGGUACCUGACCAAGAAGCCCCGGCUGACUACGUGCCAGCAGCCGCAGUAAUACGUAGGGGGCAAGCGUUAUCCGGAUUUAAUGGGUGUAAAGGGGGCGCAGACGGCAAUGCAAGCCAGGAGGCAAAGCCCGGGGCCCAACCCCGGGACUGCGCUUGGAACUGCAAGGCUCGAGUACAGGAGGGGAAGGCGGAAUGCGUAGUGUAGCGGUGAAAUGCGUAGAUAUUAGGAGGAACACCGGUGGCGAAGGCGGCAUGCUGGACUGUGACUGACGUUGAGGCCCGAAGGCGUGGGGAGCAAACAGGAUUAGAUACCCUUGUAGUC
rnacentral:rRNA from 1 species